UUGGCUCAGAACGAACGCUGGCGGCAUGCUUAACACAUGCAAGUCGAACGGCAGCACAGCAGAGCUUGCUCUGUGGGUGGCGAGUGGCGGACGGGUGAGUAAUGCAUCGGGACCUACCCAGACGUGGGGGAUAACGUAGGGAAACUUACGCUAAUACCGCAUACGUCCUACGGGAGAAAGCGGGGGAUCGCAAGACCUCGCGCGGUUGGAUGGACCGAUGUGCGAUUAGCUAGUUGGUAGGGUAAUGGCCUACCAAGGCGACGAUCGC
rnacentral:rRNA from 1 species